UGGCAGAUCAUAGGCUGACUUUG
rnacentral:miRNA from 1 species